rnacentral:rRNA from 1 species
GAUGAACGCUAGCGGCAGGCUUAAUACAUGCAAGUCGAGGGGGCAGCAAUGUCACCGGCGAACGGGUGCGUAACGCGUAUGCAACCUACCUACAUCAGGGGGAUAGCCCUAGGAAACUGGGAUUAACACCGCAUAAUAUAAGCUACGGCAUCGUAACUUAUUGAACUAUUUAUAGGAUGUAGAUGGGCAUGCGUAGGAUUAGCUAGUUGGUAAGGUAACGGCUUACCAAGGCUACGAUCCUUAGGGGCUCUGAGAGGAGUAUCCCCCACACUGGCACGGAGAUAAGGGCCAGACUCCUACGGGAGGCAGCAGUAGGGAAUAUUGGGCAAUGGAGGCAACUCUGACCCAGCCAUGCCGCGUGCAGGAAGACGGUCCUCUGGAUUGUAAACUGCUUUUGAAUGGGAAGAAUGUGCUCCUUGCGAGGAGUAAUGACGGUACCAUUAGAAUAAGCCACGGCUAACUACGUGCCAGCCGCCGCAGUAA